rnacentral:lncRNA from 1 species
CCAAACCGGAGUUACAGACCAGACUCGUCCAGCCUGCAGUGACGUGAGAAGCAGCUUGAGGAGCGAGGAAACCCUGGAGUCAUGUUUCUCAAACUUGCUGGCCAAAAUCCCUCUCUAUAUUGAACAUCAGCAACAAUAAUAUUGAUGACAUAAGAGAUUUAGAAAUACUAGAGAACCUUAAU